AUUCAGCUGAUGAGUACCAAAUAUGACGAAACGCUCGUCCUGAAU
rnacentral:hammerhead_ribozyme from 1 species